rnacentral:tmRNA from 1 species
GGGGGCGACAUGGCUUCGACAUGGGUCGCGAAACCUUCGGUGCAUGUAGAGCAUUGUGGCUUGACUCUUAAAACCAGCUACAAAAGUUAUAGUUGCAAACGACGAUAACUACGCACUAGCAGCUUAGGCAGCUAGGGUCUCACCGGAGUUGUUCAUGGCUUUGGAUUCGAGAUCUCAUCUAACAUGAAAUCGCUAGUUGUUUGUGUCGAUUAAACAACGGUUAAAACGCAAGUCGACUCACCCGAUACCGAGUGCGUUUGUCCAGUUGGUAAGGGCUAAAUUAAAGACAAACUAAACAUGUAGAUCCGAUGAGCGGAGGACUUGUGGACGCGGGUUCGAUCCCCGCCGCCUCCACCA